UACGGAGGAUGCGAGCGUUAUCCGGAUUUAUUGGGUUUAAAGGGUGCGUAGGCGGACGCUUAAGUCAGCGGUAAAAUUGCGGGGCUCAACCUCGUCGAGCCGUUGAAACUGGGUGCCUUGAGUGGGCGAGAAGUACGCGAAAUGCGUGGUGUAGCGGUGAAAUGCAUAGAUAUCACGCAGAACUCCGAUUGCGAAGGCAGCGUACCGGCGCCCAACUGACGCUGAAGCACGAAGGCGUGGGUAUCGAACAGG
rnacentral:rRNA from 1 species